rnacentral:rRNA from 1 species
AUGGCUCAGGACGAACGCUGGCGGCGUGCCUAAUACAUGCAAGUCGAGCGGACAGAAGGGAGCUUGCUCCCGGAUGUUAGCGGCGGACGGGUGAGUAACACGUGGGUAACCUGCCUGUAAGACUGGGAUAACUCCGGGAAACCGGAGCUAAUACCGGAUAGUUCCUUGAACCGCAUGGUUCAAGGAUGAAAGACGGUUUCGGCUGUCACUUACAGAUGGACCCGCGGCGCAUUAGCUAGUUGGUGGGGUAAUGGCUCACCAAGGCGACGAUGCGUAGCCGACCUGAGAGGGUGAUCGGCCACACUGGGACUGAGACACGGCCCAGACUCCUACGGGAGGCAGCAGUAGGGAAUCUUCCGCAAUGGACGAAAGUCUGACGGAGCAACGCCGCGUGAGUGAUGAAGGUUUUCGGAUCGUAAAGCUCUGUUGUUAGGGAAGAACAAGUGCGAGAGUAACUGCUCGCACCUUGACGGUACCUAACCAGAAAGCCACGGCUAACUACGUGCCAGCAGCCGCGGUAAUACGUAGGUGGCAAGCGUUGUCCGGAAUUAUUGGGCGUAAAGGGCUCGCAGGCGGUUUCUUAAGUCUGAUGUGAAAGCCCCCGGCUCAACCGGGGAGGGUCAU